GAGCGGCUCGGCGGCGUUUAUUCAGACACGUUUCAUGUGCAGAGAAUAACAGCUAAGGUACACCGCAGAAAAUUAUCACAUUACCAUAUACGUCAAUACAUACGUUCAAAAAAAGAAGACAAUUUUCCUAAAUCCACAUUCACGGUAACACAUACAUAUUUAUACGCUUAAAAGAGAAGUAAGAUAAGAUAACACAGCAGAUGUAAACAAUACCCAAAUACACACACAAGUAAAAAACAGUCAUUCAGGAAAGUGAAGACUCGGUGUGAAACCUGUUUAUAAAAUCACCAAAGAGACAGUCAAGUGACUUUUUUUUAUUCAUUCAACCAAUAAAAAACAUCACUGUGCAUUUAAAAGCUGUAUGGGCACACCGACAAAAGGGAUUCUUUCCAAAUGUUGUACAUGUGAACUACGAUAAAUCAUACAAGAGUAUGCUGUAUUAGUCUUAACUGCGUAAAAAAGCUCCACUUGAAGUCUCUCAGAUACUUGGUGCCUCGAAGUCUGCCAUUUAUCAUGAUCAUUUCAUGCACCACACAACCAUUUUAAGGGGCGGUUCAUGAACAGAAGCAGUUUUAGUAACACGGAAGCUCAAUUAUCGUUAUUAUGUUAACCAAUCUAACCUUGGUUCACGUUAUACGUCAUUUGUAACUGUCACACUCCGCUGCGGUGUCACCGAAAUGUAUCAAGAUCUGCUUCGAGCGGCUACUGGUAUGUGUGUAUUUGUAUAAGUAAGUACGUGCGUAUAACGUCCAUUGUAUACUUUUUUUUUUUUAAUCCGCGACACGAGUUGGAUACUUGCCCUAUAGUGAAUAUGUAUUACAUUAACGUUAUUAAACGAGGGUAUAUAUACGAAGCAGUGAAUAUUGGAUGUAUGAAUGGGUUUUGGUGUACACCUAAAACCCACGCGACGCCUAAGACCGCCCGGUGCGCUAGACUCAGGAUAUACAAUUAUUACACCCUCAACCCGCUGCAGUGGUCUACUAUCCAAUUUUUUAUUAUUUCUCUUUCACUGUAAUCCGGAUUACACGUUAUUGCCGUAAGUCUUAUCGGCUACCGUCGCCUGAUCAUCUAUCUUCGUCCACCGACCAGUUGUACAAGCCAUUGUUGCGCAUUUGUCUCAUAGCAUACCUAUGAUUUACGUCGCACUCAAGUACACAUAAUAUAAAAAAAACAUGGAAUAAAUUAUCAUUACUUGGUCAUUAGAAAAUGUAAGAAGCGAACGUGAUUUGAUGGCACUCCACGCAGUUUUCCAGGAUUUUACUGCAAUCGAUUUGCUAAUUAGAGCGUCAACGUGAUAAUGCGGUCACAAAAGAAUAUUGUCACUCGGUCAAAAUAUUGGAAUGCCUCGGUCUCGUGAAAUACUCAUUUUUCAAAAUGCAUAUCAAAUUUCCCGUACAACUUAGUAGAGAGAACAAAAAUUGUUCGAGAAUGGACAUUAAUUAGUGGCAGAUAAAAAACCAACAAAAUGUGAUUGUACCAUAGAAAAUAGCACAAUUACAUGUUAUACGAAUAAUUUUCAAUUGUUAUCAACACAUUUAUAAGUUAAAAAUAAACUAUUAA